AUUUAUAUAGUUUAAUUAAAACAUUACACUUUCAUUGUAAAGUUGGGCCCCCCCCCUGUAAAUG
rnacentral:tRNA from 1 species